rnacentral:pre_miRNA from 1 species
GUGGUUGCUCACUCUCCCUCAAGGGCUUCCGACUCAGCCAUUAUUAAUGCGGGAUUGUGCAACGAGAGUUUGAUUGGCAUAAGUUGGAAGCUCUUGUUUGGGUGGGGUGGGGGGGGAUUGAACAGCCUCU